rnacentral:rRNA from 1 species
GAGGUGCUUGCACCUCUUGAGAGCGGCGGACGGGUGAGUAAUGCCUAGGAAUCUGCCUGGUAGUGGGGGAUAACGCUCGGAAACGGACGCUAAUACCGCAUACGUCCUACGGGAGAAAGCAGGGGACCUUCGGGCCUUGCGCUAUCAGAUGAGCCUAGGUCGGAUUAGCUAGUUGGUGAGGUAAUGGCUCACCAAGGCGACGAUCCGUAACUGGUCUGAGAGGAUGAUCAGUCACACUGGAACUGAGACACGGUCCAGACUCCUACGGGAGGCAGCAGUGGGGAAUAUUGGACAAUGGGCGAAAGCCUGAUCCAGCCAUG